rnacentral:rRNA from 1 species
UACGUAGGGUGCAAGCGUUGUCCGGAAUUACUGGGCGUAAAGAGCUCGUAGGUGGUUUGUCGCGUUGUCCGUGAAAACUCACAGCUUAACUGUGGGCGUGCGGGCGAUACGGGCAGACUGGAGUACUGCAGGGGAGACUGGAAUUCCUGGUGUAGCGGUGGAAUGCGCCAGAGUAUCAGGAGGAACACCGGUGGCGAAGGCGGGUCUCUGGGCAGUAACUGACGCUGAGGAGCGAAAGCGUGGGGAGCGAACAGG